CUACGGGUCGCUCCAGUCGAGAAUCAUUCGCAAUGCGCGAAAGCGUGACGAUGCGACGCUGCGUGGAGGAUGAAGGCCCUCGGGUCGUAAACUCCUGUCAGGAGGGAAAAGCCGGCACUUGGUCAAUACCCUUGUGCCCCGAUGGUACCUCCAGAGGAAGCCACGGCUAACUCUGUGCCAGCAGCCGCGGUAAUACAGAGGUGGCGAGCGUUGUUCGGAUUUACUGGGCGUAAAGGGUGCGUAGGCGGCGUGCAAAGCUGGAUGUGAAAUCCCGGGGCUCAACCCCGGAACUGCAUCCGGAACUGGCAUGCUAGAGACCAGGAGGGGAGAGCAGAAUUCUAGGUGUAGCGGUGAAAUGCGUUGAUAUCUAGAAGAAUACCGGUGGCGAAGGCGGCUCUCUGGAAUGGUUCUGACGCUGAGGCACGAAAGCGUGGGGAGCAAACAGGAUUAGAUACCCGUGUAGUC
rnacentral:rRNA from 1 species